UCUAUAUUCAACAGAGUUCAAUACACAAACCAUCAACAUUACCUUUAUUCAACAUGCUGUCACUGCAGCAUUGUGUGCUUUCUCUGAUGUUUCUUUCCAUUCUAACAGGUGUCAGCUGUGUAGAACUCACUCCAGUCCAGAAAGAAGAGAACAGUUUAGAAGGCAGCUCUGUUACUCUGUCCUACAGAUACUCCAAACAAGCUGAAUAUAAUGAUUAUUUCUUCUGGUAUCGACAAUAUCCAGGAAAACCACCAGAGUUCCUCAUCUUUCACUAUGGAACGCAAAAUGGAACAAACUCUGGACUGUCUGUUUCAGUGAGUGAGGAUAAAUCCAAAAUUAUUCUUCAGAUCUCCUCUGCUGCAGUGACAGACUCUGCUCUGUACUACUGUGCUGUGAGGCCCACAGUGACAGCAAACCCACAGUCUCUGUACAAAAACACAAGCUGACACACUGACAAGCUGCUGGAAGACUUUUUUCUACACUGUUGUACUGAAC